CACCGCGGUUACACGAUGGGCCCCAGUUGACAGAGUUCGGCGUAAAGGGUGGUUAAUGAACUAUUGCACUAAAGCCAAACACCUUCAUGGCUGUCCCAAAGCAUAUGAAGGCAGGAGGAUCCCCAACGAAAGUGGCUUUAAAAUACAUGACCCCACGAAAGCUAGGGAA
rnacentral:rRNA from 2 species